rnacentral:rRNA from 1 species
UACAGAGGUCCCGAGCGUUGUUCGGAUUUAUUGGGCGUAAAGGGUGCGUAGGCGGCGCGGUAGGUCGGGUGUGAAAUCUCGGAGCUUAACUCCGAAACUGCAUUCGAUACUGCCGUGCUUGAGGACUGGAGAGGAGACUGGAAUUUACGGUGUAGCGGUGAAAUGCGUAGAUAUCGUAAGGAAGACCAGUGGCGAAGGCGGGUCUCUGGACAGUUCCUGACGCUGAGGCACGAAGGUCAGGGGAGCAAACGGG